AUUGAACGCUGGCGGCAUGCUUUACACAUGCAAGUCGAACGGUAACAGGCCGCAAGGUGCUGACGAGUGGCGAACGGGUGAGUAAUGCAUCGGAACGUGCCCAGUCGUGGGGGAUAACGCAGCGAAAGCUGCGCUAAUACCGCAUACGAGCUAUGGAUGAAAGCGGGGGACCGUAGGGCCUCGCGCGAUUGGAGCGGCCGAUGUCAGAUUAGGUAGUUGGUGGGGUAAAGGCGCACCAAGCCAACGAUCUGUAGCUGGUCUGAGAGGACGACCAGCCACACUGGGACUGAGACACGGCCCAGACUCCUACGGGAGGCAGCAGUGGGGAAUUUUGGACAAUGGGCGCAAGCCUGAUCCAGCAAUGCCGCGUGCAGGAAGAAGGCCUUCGGGUUGUAAACUGCUUUUGUACGGAACGAAAAGGCUCUGGUUAAUACCUGGGGCUCAUGACGGUACCGUAAGAAUAAGCACCGGCUAACUACGUGCCAGCCGCCGCCGUAACAC
rnacentral:rRNA from 1 species